UACGUAGGGUGCAGGCGUUAAUCGGAAUUACUGGGCGUAAAGCGUGCGUAGGCGGCCAUGUAAGUCGGAUGUGAAAGCCCCGGGCUUAACCCGGGAAGUGCAUUCGAUACUGCGUGGCUUGAGUAUCGGAGAGGUUGGUGGAAUUCUCGGUGUAGAGGUGAAAUUCGUAGAUAUCGAGAGGAACACCGGUGGCGAAGGCGGCCAACUGGACGAAUACUGACGCUGAGACACGAAAGCGUGGGGAGCAAACAGG
rnacentral:rRNA from 1 species